UUUAGAGUUAGGAAGGGUUUAGGGUUAGAAAAGAUUUAGGGUUAGGUAGGGUUUAUGGUUAAAAAGGGCAUAGGGUAGGUAGGGUUUAGGGUUAGUAGGAUUUAGUGUUAGGUAGGGUUUAGGGUUGGUAGGGUUUAGGGCUAGGUAAAGUUUAAGGUUAGGUAGGGUUUAGGGUUAGGUAGGGUUAGGUAGGGUUUAGAGGUAAGUAGGGUUUAGGGUAGGUAGGGUUUAGAGUUAGGUAGGGUUUAGGGUUAUGUUGGGUUUAGGAUUAGAAGGGGUAGGGUUUAGUGUUAGCUAGGGUUUAGGGUAGGUAGGGUUUAGGGUUAUGUAGGGCUUAGGGUUAGUAGGGUUUAGGGUUAGAAGGGUUUAGGGUUAGGUAGGGUUUAAGGUUAGAAAGGGUUUAGGGUAGGUAGGGUUCAGGGUUAGGUAGGGUUUAGGGUUUAGAAAGGUUUUAGGUUAGGUAGGGUUAGUAGGGUUUAGGGUUAUGAAGGGUUAGGGUUAGGGUUAGGUAGGGUUUAGGGUUAUGCAUGGUUUAAGGUUAGUAGGGUUUAGGGUUAGUAGGGUUUAGGGUUAGAAGGGGUUAGGUAGGGUUUAGGGUUAGAAGGGGUUAGGUAGGGUUUAGGGUUAGAAGGGGUUAGGUAGGGUUUAGGGUUACAUAAGGUUUAGGGUUUAAGGUAGGUAGGGUUUAGGGUUAUGUAGGGCUUAGCGUUAGUAGGAUUUAGGGUUAGGUAGGGUUUAGGGUUAGGUAGGGUUUAAGGUUUGGUAGGGUUUAGAAUUAGGUAGGGUUUAAGGUUAGGUAGGGUUUAGGGUUACGUAGGGUUUAGGGUUAGAAAGGGUUUAUGGUUAGUAGGGUUUAAGAUUAGUAGGGUUUAGGGAUAGUAGGGUUUAGGGCUAGAAGGGGUUUAGGGUUAGAAAGGUUUUAGGUUAGGUAACGUUAGGUAGGAUUGUAGGGUUUAGGGUUAUGUAGGAUUAGGGUUAGGUAGGGUUUAGGGUUAGUAGGGUUUAGGGUUAGGUAGAGUUUAGGAUAGGUAGGGUUUAGGGUUAGGGUUAGGUAGGGUUUAGGGUUUGGUUUUAGGUAGGAUUUUAGGGUUUAGGCGUACUGUUUUGUCUCUAUAUUAUUUUUAGCAAAUAUAAACAAACUAGGUGUUUUGCCCGCGAUGCGGGCUUAAACAUUUUCAUAAAUUUUUGAAAAGUUGUUUUCAAUUUAUGUAAAGAAUAUUAUUUUUUGUGAAUGAGCAAAGAUUUAAGG
rnacentral:lncRNA from 1 species